rnacentral:ncRNA from 1 species
UUAAAAGCGAUGAACAAGAAGAGUAAUGUUAUUUUUGGUUUAAUAGAGAAAAGAACAGAUGGUGGGAGUUCUUAACCGAAAUAAGAUGAAGGUAGCUUGGGAGCUGACAGGGUGAAGAAAGAGUAACCUUGUACGGAGUGACGUUACGUUAAAAACGUGAAGAGAGAGGUAUAUUCGGGAAUAACGAAUAUGCAAACUAGGUGGUACCGCGAAUUCUAAAGCAUUCGUCCUAAUG